CACCAUCGCAUCGAGACUAUAUAAAUCGGUUCACCCACAUUUGCCAACUAUCAAUCACCAACGUUUGAUCUGUAACUGUCGCAAUUCAAGCACACAAAUACAGCCACUAAAACCAUCAAAAUGGCAUACAUGUUCGUAGUCAUCGCCGCCUCCAUCUUGGCCACCGCCUACGGAUCUCCCGUAGCAGCACCCAUCUACGCCGCUGGCCCAGCUUACUCUGCACCCGCAUACUCUGCUGCCCCGGCAUACGCUGCACCCUCUUCAUACUCUGCUCCUUCUUACAAACCCGCUUACAAACCAGCAGCAUACGGACACGAAUCUUACGAUGCCCCAGCUCCAUACAACUUCGAAUACAGCGUAAACGACCCACACACCUACGACGUCAAGAGCCAAUCUGAAUACGCCGACGGAAACGGUUACGUCAAGGGAUCCUACAGUCUGGUCGAACCCGACGGUUCCACCCGCACUGUCGAAUACACCGCUGACGACUACAACGGUUUCAACGCCGUCGUCAAGAAGGAAGGUGGAUACGCUGCACCAGCUUACUCUGCACCAGCAUACUCUGCACCAGCCUACAAGGCCCCAGCUUACGCUGCCCCAGCCUACUCUGCACCAGCCUACAAGGCCCCAGCUUACGCUGCACCAGCUUACUCUGCACCAGCCUACAAGUCCCCAUCUUACUCUGCCCCGGCCUACAAAGCCCCAUACUCCGCUCCCUCAUACUCCGCCCCAGCCUACAAGGCCCCGUCUUACUCCGCACCAGCUUACUCCGCCCCAGCUUACGCUGCCCCGGCUUACUAAGCUAAACAAGCCAUGUUGGCCGCCGUCGCCGGAUCUCCAGUUUACCCGUCACCCUCUUACUCGGCACCCGCUUACCACGCACCCGCCGCCUACUCCGCGCCCGCUUACCAUGCACCCGCCGACUACUCGGCACCCGCCCCGUACAGCUUCGAGUAUAGCGUAAACGACCCACACACCUACGACGUCAAGAGCCAACACGAGUACAGCGACGGCAACGGAUACGUCAAGGGCUCUUACAGCCUUUUGGAAGCCGACGGUUCCACACGCACCGUUGAAUACACCGCCGACGACUACAACGGUUUCAACGCUGUCGUCAAGAACGAAGGUGGAUACAAGGCCCCAGCUUACUCUGCACCAGCUUACUCCGCACCAGCCUACAAGCCAGCAUACUCUGCACCAGCCUACUCGGCUCCGGCUUACAAGCCAGCGUACUCUGCACCAGCCUACUCGGCUCCGGCCUACAAGGCUCCGUACAGUGCCCCAGCUUACAAACCAGCUUACUAAUGACUAUACGUCUGUCAUUUUCACGUGUCACCGUCCUGCGUGAUGAGUUCUGUCUUCUUCUUUAAUUUAUUUCAAUUUCCUUCUCAUUGUUUAUUUAUUUGCGGUAGAUUAAAAAAAAACUAUGCGCCCGUUAGGAAAA